CCUCCUUUAUCGCAGAUAUAGCGACCAGUGCAGUGAUGAAGAAAAGAGGAAAGAAAAGAAAAAAAGAGAGAAGACCAUGACAGGUACCAACAUUCCUUAAGAUUACGCACAAUGCCAGACCUUCUGUACCUUAGAUAAAACGACCGUGGCAGGUACUAAAAUUCCUUAAGAAUUACAUACAAUGCCAGACCUUUAUCGCAGAUAAAGCGACAUGACUGUUACCAAAGUUCCCAAAAAUUAAGAACAAUGCCAUACCCCUCCUCCUUGACACCUUGGAACAUCCGUACCAAAUUUGACAAUAACAGAAACACGAGAUUGUGAAUCAAAUGAAAAAACCUUAUUUGAUAUUGCUGGAAUUGAGAACUUAUCACUGACGUGCGCCGGCCCGUGCCCUUGCCUUUGAUUCCCUAUCGAACUGCUCAGUCGUCGGACGAAGCGGGGGGUUUCAUCGUGAUGAAUUUAUCAUUCCUAACCCCUAACCCUAAUCUUAACCCUUAUAGCACAGUGGUGCCAAAGCCCAACUGUCGUUAUUUGCAAAGCUGGCCUUACAAUGCCGGCAUGGAUAGGUGGCAUUGCGAAGCAGACUUUACAAGGCCCACCCAGGUUGAUCCUCCCAUCGGCCCCCAGAAUGGGGCUAACUUCCCUGGGUUCACAUUCAGGAAAAAGGGCCCACCUCAGCUCACCUUGACCUCCGGUCGGUCCCGGGAACCCACACUUAAGCCCCCCCCGCUAUGUUCACACUUAACCACGCUCAAAAUAUUUUUGUGCCCCUGGUAUACCAUUUCACUCUUGCGAAGCCAGCUUUACAAUGGCGAGGUGAAAUUGCAAAUACGGCUUCACGAUGUCAGCCAACACAGGGUUGAGGAUCAUCACUUGAUGAUCGUGGCUAUCACCCCCUUACCCUAGUUCCCAGGUUGACGUACAUUUUCAAAGUGUCAAAAACACACUCCUUGCGAAGCCGGCUUUGCUAGAUGAGAUUGCGAAUCCGGCUUUGCAAUGAAACACAUUUUCACACUUUGAAUCUAGCUGUUGGGUCCUGUAGCGAAUGCGGCAUAUAUGCUGCCAGCGGAACAGCAUCCAACAGAUUAUUUCAAAGUGUCAAAAACACACUCAUUGCGAAGCCGGCUUUGCUAGAUGAGAUUGCAAAUCCGGCUUUGCAAUGAAACACAUUCCGUUGCAUUCCGUUUCACCCUUGCGAAGACGGCUUUACAAUGUCGGCCAACACACGGUUGAGGAUCAUCACUUGAUGAUCGUGGCUAUCACCCCCUUACCCUAACCACCCUAACCCCCUAACCCUAACCAGAGGUAAGUGUAUUUAAUUGGUUUUAAUUUGGCAAAAAACACGUGUGCAAGAUCUGUUGUAAAUGUAAUGUUUUGGUCCUCUUAAGUUUGUCUAAUAUUGGAAUUUGUCUGUUAAUAGGAUCGAGAACCCAUCUCAAAACAGGCAAAAAGGGCAGCCAUUAUUAAAGAGCUUGCAGAACUUCGGAGGUCUGAGCCUGAUAAGCCAAUGAUUUCCGUCUGGGACAUGGGUAUUACCCGUGAAAUUGGUACUUUUUAGUUGUUUUAAUAUUUUUUGUGAUUACCUGGUAACUUGGGGCCUGAGAGGAGGGCUUUCAUCAUCAUAUUCCAUUAAUUUUCCCAUCCAACUAAACAAAUUAAACUUUCUAUUUUGUACUUUAUUAUGGCUUUUCUGUACCAACCAGAAAUGUGACAUAAACAGAAAUUUGGAAGUACAGGGUUUUAAUUUAACAUUUAAAUGUAAUUUCAUUACAGAGGAGGAAAUGCCAAGCUUGGAAGUGCAAAUGUCAGAAAACUCCGAGGAAGAUUUGGAUGACUAAGAACCCGGGCCCUCUUCCGCUUUCACCAGCAUAAGGGUUACUGCCGGUCAGCAACUUUGUCCCACACCUGUCCCUGGGCCCGACGACUCCGCCUCUUCCAGUUUGGAGACCGGCAUUAGGGAUACUGCCGGUCAGCCACAUCUUCUCACACCUGUCCCUGGGCCCGACGACUCCGCCUCUUCCAGUUUGGAGACCGGCAUUAGAGAUACUGCCGGUCAGCCACAUCUUCUCACACCUGUCCCUGGGCCCCACGACCCCCCCUCUUCCAGUGCGGAGACCGGCAUUGGGGAUACUGCCAGUCAGCCACUUAUUACAACACCUGUCCCUGGGCCCCACAGCUCUAGCACUUCAACUAGCCCUACUGCUGGUCAGCUGCUGGCUUCCACCCCUCUUCCUGGGUCCCCCAUUUCCUCUACUGUACAAAGUUCAUCAGUUUCAAGUUGCCAAGGCUGCAUGGAGCUCUCUUUCAGGGUGCUGCAGCUAGAAAGAAAAGUGGAGACGUUAAUGGCAGGACAGACACCGACACGCAGACCAUUUAAACUAACUCUGUCUGCACAAAAAGGAGAGUAUGUCGGCAAAGUGACAAAGGGUGAACAUUUAUUUGAAAGGAUUCUGAAAGAUUUUCAGAAGUUUCGGCUGGGCUCUAGAUCCGGAAAAAAAGAUGCUGAAAAUGCUCGUCAGUCAGCAAGCCACGGUCUGCGAUUUUGCAUGUAUAAGGCUUCUGGCCUACCUACAAAUGGUAUCGCUGAGGACCUAAGGUUUCUGACACAAAUUGACAAGUUACGGGGGCUACGCCCCAACAACAAUAAAAAAUAUGCUCAACAAUGUCAUCUUGUUUCUCCGCCACGUGGAAAACUCGUUUCAAAAGGCCAGCAAGCUGAACAAGAAGCACUUCCAAACACUGCAGUAUGAGCUUAAAAGGAUCGUGGCAGAUGUCCACAAAAAAAUUAGUGGUCCAUCGCCAAAAGGUGUUAUGCGUAAAGACAGACAAUCAGCUUAGCGCAAAAAAUAUAUUCAUGAUUACCGCCAGGUGACGGAUUUCGGAACGGAUCGGUAAGUAGACUUCAUUAUUGACAUUGCAUUCUUAACUGUAUUUUUCUGCCUAUAUCUUGCAAUGUUUUAUAGAAAGCAUACCUUUCCAUGGGGAGGAGGACCAUUCCAUUCUCAUGGGAUACAUCAUGGGCUACUUGGGCAUGUUGAGUGGACACAGAUCCAUUGCCAUCAACAUGACCAAGCAGCAGGUCAUCAACUGCGAGAGUUGGAAGAAUGGCAAGCAGUUCCAAGUUUUGGUGGAUGACCACAAAACUGUGUCCACUUUUGGCCAAGCGGCAUUUGCCCUCAAUAAGGAGGAGUAUGACUGGCUGGAAUUUUUAGCUAAAGGUUCUUGCUGUGAGCCAGGCAAGAAGGGCAAGUACCUUUUCCAUUCUGUGCUUGGCAAGCAGGUUCAGAAGCCAGGAAACCUCCUCAAUCUGGCUUGGGGGGGAUGCCGGCAUGGAGGGAAGCAUCACUUUUAACCAGAUCCGGAGCAGCGUCUCCACUCAAGCCAGCAAACACCUCACCGAGAAGGAGCGGAAAGAGGUGGCAAAAUCCAUAUGUCGCUCUGCCCGACAAAGACGCCACAUUCAACACCAGAAACCUCAGGCUGAAAGCACUGAAGAGCGCUGUGGAUCAUGAUGAAGAUGAGGAUAAGGAAGGGGAAGAGGAAGAAGGCAGCACAAGUUCAAGUGAAGAAGAACCCCCUUAUGAUGACCAUAUGGACUCCGAUUCAGCUCCCUCUGAGGAGGAGAUGGCAGAAUGGAGACAACAGAAGACACUGACUCAGAAAACCUCCAAAAGAAAAUUGUUCCUCUGGGAUCAGCAAAGUGGACCAAAGACGCCCAAGAAGUGUAAGAUAGUGAUGAAAAAACUUGGGACUCCAAUAACGAAGUAUUACAUGAGUAAAACCAUUGUCUCCAAGCCUCUGGAAGCACCCCCUGUAGAGCUGGCUGCAGGGCCUGCGCCAGCACCCCCCAAAAGACCCCCAAAGACCCAAGUAGCAAUAGAGGAAACCCCAGCAAUGGAGAAAAGCCCAGCAGCGGAAGAAGGCACAGCAGCGGAAGAAGGCCCGGCAGCAAAAAAAGGCCCAGGAACUGAGGAGCCUAAUAAGGACUUUUAGGAAGAGUGGUGAGUUCAAAGACACUACUUCUUUUUUUUUUUUUUACACUUUUUAAAUUUUUUUCAAUGGAACCUUUUUUUUUUUUUUCUCUCUUUUUGGGAAGGCUUGGUGAUAUUUGUUUGGUGGACAAUUUAUUUAAUUUUUUCCACUAACACUACUUUAGAAUUAUUGCUGAAUUUUUUGUUUUUAUGGCACUUUAGUUUUUUGCAUGGGUUCAGGUUUUAUUGCUGAAUAUUUACUUUUUACAGCACUUUAUUCUUUUGCACAGGUCAUGUUUUGUGGAUAAAUAAAUCUUCAUAAAUGUU